rnacentral:pre_miRNA from 1 species
AUGCACAUCAUCUGGGGGUCUUGUUGAAAUGCAGAUUCUGAUUCAGCAGGUCCCUGGCUGAGUGGGCCCUGAGAUUCUGCAUUGCUGACAAGUUCCCAGCUGAUGCUGUG